rnacentral:rRNA from 1 species
CAGUCGCCGCGGUAAUACCGAGGGUGCAAGCGUUAAUCGGAAUUACUGGGCGUAAAGCGCGCGUAGGUGGUUUGUUAAGUUGGAUGUGAAAGCCCCGGGCUCAACCUGGGAACUGCAUCCAAAACUGGCAAGCUAGAGUACGGUAGAGGGUGGUGGAAUUUCCUGUGUAGCGGUGAAAUGCGUAGAUAUAGGAAGGAACACCAGUGGCGAAGGCGACCACCUGGACUGAUACUGACACUGAGGUGCGAAAGCGUGGGGAGCAAACAGGAUUAGAUACCCCCGUAGUCCCUGUCUCUUAUAC